rnacentral:rRNA from 1 species
CCUACGGGUGGCAGCAGUAGGGAAUAUUGCUCAAUGGGGGAAACCCUGAAGCAGCAACGCCGCGUGGAGGAUGAAGGUUUUCGGCUUGUAAACUCCUUUUGUCAGAGGAGAUAAUGACGGUAUCUAAAGAAUAAGCACCGGCUAACUCCGUGCCAGCAGCCGCGGUAAUACGGAGGGGGCAAGCGUUACCCGGAUUCACUGGGCGUAAAGGGCGCGUAGGCGGGAUAGCAAGUCAGAUGUGAAAUCCUAUGGCUUAACCAUAGAACUGCAUUUGAAACUGUGAUUCUAGAGUAUGGGAGGGGUAGGUGGAAUUCUUGGUGUAGGGGUAAAAUCCGUAGAGAUCAAGAGGAAUACUCAUUGCGAAGGCGACCUGCUAGACCAUAACUGACGCUGAUGCGCGAAAGCGUGGGGAGCAAACAGGAUUAGAUACCCGUGUAGUC